rnacentral:misc_RNA from 1 species
AACUUUCAGCAACGGAUCUCGUGGUUCUCGCAUCGAUGAAGAACGCAGCGAAUUGCGAUAUGUAAUGUGAAUUGCAGAAUUCAGUGAAUCAUCGAAUCUUUGAACGCAUCUUGCGCCCUUUGGUAUUCCGAAGGGCAUGCCUGUUUGAGUGUCAUUAAAUUCUCAACUUCAAAAACUUGUUUCUUUGAUAGCUUGGAUGUUGGAGGCUUGCAGGCAUUUUUGUCAGCUCCUCUCAAAUGCAUUAGCAGAACUUUUAAAUCGGCUUUGGUUUGAUAAUCCUAUCUAUGCCAUCGCUGGUUGUAGCUCAGCUUAUAAUUGUCUUCGGACUGUCUCGCAUGAGGCAUUAUUUAAACUUGCCCUCAAAUCAGGUAGGACUACCCGCUGACCUUAAGCAUAUCAAUAAGCGGAGGCU